CAUCCAAAGAGCAGAAGCAUAAUGAGCCAGCCCUUUAGUCCUGGAAUUGUAUGCUUUAGUGGGAAAUGAAACUGUAUAAGUGACUUGAAUAAUCUAUCCUAUGAAAACUGAUUUGAACAACAUUUAUAAUAAUAGAUAUGAUGAAGUGGAAGGCUCUUGCUGAUUAUAAAAGUAGCUACACAUAUCUGGGAUAAAAUCGGCAAUUGAUGACACUCUCCAGAUUGCAGCUGGGUAGGAAUACCAGAGUUUACAUCGGGCUUGCUGCCAGCUUUGAGGUGUUUUAAAAUCUGUCUGAAGAAGAGGCCAAAUAGACCAUUUACAGGACUAAAUGAUCUUAACUAGUUAACUCUUAACUAAAGCACAUCAGUGUUCAUUUCUUUCAGGGAAAAAUAGACAAGAUUCUAAACCUUGAGGAAAAAGGAAAGGCUAAUUACUCAAAAAAAUUGACAUUUUUUUAAGGGGGAGAACUUGUCCCACCCGUGGACAGAUAAGCUAAGCCAAUGUUAUGAUAAGUCCCAGAUAAAGAACUGCUUUCCAGGACAAUUUCCUAAACAGAUAAAGGAAAAAGCUACAUACCACCCUGUUCAGAUGAGGGCAACCUGGUUUGACGGUAAUUUCUGUGGCUUCUACAACCCUUUGGUUAAUUUGACUCUUACGCAAGAGUUCCACAAGGUGGCGCCCAAGUCAAGUAGUAGGUUUAAAUUCGGGCUCCAAAUUUCACCUAAUCCUAAAGGAUUUGCACUUUGUCCACUCAGUUUCCUAUUUACCGUGGUUUCUUGAUUGUCUUUCUACUUUGCAGGUCACCUUUCAUACUCCUGUUGAUUCUGCUUUUUCUCUGACUUCUAAGGUUGUAGGUCCUAGGUCCUCUUUUCCUCUGUCAAUACACACUGCUUCAAUAAAUGUACCCAAUCCCAUGGCUCUAAAUGUUACCUAGCUGCUGACUAUUCACACUUACAUCUGCAUCCCAGAUCACGCUUCCUAAUUCCACACCUGUAUAUCUAAUCGCCUGUCCAAAUCUCUACUUUGUUGUCUAAUAAAAUCUCAAAUUCAAGAGGUAAAAAAAAGGAAAAAAAAAUGAACUCCUGAUUCCUCAGCCACCCACUGUUCCCCACCCUCCCACCAUCAUCAUGCUCCUCUCUCAGAGUCUUUGUCUUCUCAAGUGAUGGCAAGUCCAUUCCAGCAAAUUCUCCUGUCAAGCUCUUUAAAUCACUCUUCGCUUUUCUCUUCAUACCUUACAUCCAAUCAGAUACAGAAUUCUGCUAGUUCAAUGUUUUGCGUACUAAAAUAUAGUUCUAUUUGGUGUGUAAGUUCUUAUAGAUAAUUUUUGUUAAUUAAACUUCAAUUACACCUCAGUCAUUAGAAAGCAAUUUGACUUGUAGGCCACCUGCGUGGCUCAGUCAGGUAAGCAUCUGGGUAUUUCAGCUCAGGUCAUUAUCUCAGGGUCAUUGGAUCCAGCGUCAUAUCCUAGGAGAUGAGCAUGGAGCUUCCUUAAGAUUCUUUCUCUUUUCUUCUCCCUCUGCUUCUCCACAUCCCACAUUCUCUCUCUUCCUCUUUCAUUCUCUCUCUUUCUCUCUCUCUCCCUCCCAAAAUUUGAAAAAAAUAGUACUCUGACUUACUAGUAGGAAAAUUAUGGCAAAGUUGUCAUCACACUUCAUCACCUGUAACUUUUAGCAAUAAUGUUCCUCCAUGAAAAUGCAAAAUACACACCAGAGAAACGUGUAAAGAUUCUCUGAAUAUGAUAGUUUAUGUUAAAUUUUCAAUAUAGCUUUCUUUUCCCAAAAACUUGUGCAUCCUUCAAUCUUCCUCCCUCUUUGAAUCGGCUGAAGAUCUGUGAACUCUAGAGCUCAACAUUCCCACUGCUGGGCUACUGCAGUUCUAAGGACUGCCUUGCUUACUCAAUUUUUGAACAACUACACUUGCUUCCAAAAAGGCUAAUUCCUGGAGAAUAUUACACACAAUGCUUAACUACUAAAAAUGACAAAAAUUGCCAUUUUUGCUGAAAUUUAGAAGUAGUGGAAAUUUGAAUAAUAAUAAAAGACUCUUGGCUGCUUUUUGUCAUCUGAUAGCCAGGUCCUGCCUGGAAGGCUGAAAUAUACUCAAGGACAAGGGUCAGGAAAAAUACUGAAAAAAUACCAUUUUAUCCAGAACAUAGUAUUUAAGUAAUAUCAAAACUAGUCAAUGGGAGUCUGAUUGAAAGGCACCAAGAACUCAGCGAGGGAGGUGCUAAAAUGGUUAUGAAUGAGGCCGCAAAAUUAAAAAUUGGUAACAGUAAAUUGGCAAAUAAUUGGACCAAGGAGGUAAUGUAAGUCAGGUUGACUUCUCAUGGUAGAGAAUCUUGACAGGAUAGAACUUCUUUUAAAGAACCAAGUCUUGCUUUCCACUUAUGUAGUGGAGUUGCUCAAGGAUGCCAAUUGCCAUUGACUAACUUCUUGAGAUUUAAAAAGUGAUUAUGCCAAAGGGAGAGAAAAAUGCCUGUUGAGAAGCAUAUGGCUCUGUUGGAUGAUAACACCUGUGGCCACUCUGGAACUCUGAUACAGAUCACCGUGCAGAAACAAAUAAUUAGAUAGUUCCUACUGAUAUAGACUUCUGCUGUGGAGCAGCAUGUUGGUCUGGCCCAUGUGAGGUUCUUGUCUCCCAGGGGACACCCUAUUAUUAUAGUGGAUGGGUGCAAAUUCACUAGGUCAGGGAUUAGCACCUCCAUCAGUGGAGGACCAGACUCAGGGGAUGAAACUAGCAUGAUAUAGUCUGUGGCAUAUCACCUGUGCUCAAACAGGCACUUUGCGCUCCUAUAGCCCAGUCCAUCGCCAAAAGGAGAACAUUAAUUUCAUAAUGUAACUUCCAAGAAGAUGAAUGAGAGCCUUUUCUAUUCGAUCUAAGAAUACAAUCAAUUAGCAUUUAAAGAGACACCUGAAUAAUUUGGUAAACAGUGGAGUUGGAUAUCUUACAGCAAUCAUCCUUAAUUGGAGGGAAUGUAAAUCCCUUGGUAAACCAGAAGGGCUAUUCCCUUCUCAGGAACAUGAAUACUUAAGUCUUUACUGUUUUAAAUCUCUCUCUGAGAGCAAUAAAAAUCCUAGUUCUUCAAAUUUGAUCAAGAUGUAAUAAUUGGAUGACUUUUUCCUUGUUUAUGUUCCUUGUGGUGCUUGACCCCACAGUCAGAAAAAACAAGUUAGAAAAAUUUCACCUGGUUCUUGGACUCUCUGAAGUUACUUCACAUGACCAAAUCUUGAGUCUGGUAAGAUCUUGGGUGAAAUGAACUUAGAGUCUGUAUUUACAUGACUUUCCUUUUUUUAAUUUCCUUUUUGUUCUAAGUUCAAUUUGCUAACAUAUAACACCCAGGGCUCAUCUCAUCAAGUCAAAGCAAAUGAUAGGUAUUCGUACAACUUUCCAUUCUUGACCAAAUGUAAAAACUCCAUUCUACAAAUCACCUCUAUGAUUUGGUUAAUCACUCUAUUAUUUGGUUUAAGUAUUUCAUAUGUAGAUUUUAAUUAUUGCAUAGAAUUAUGCCUUAGAAAUUAUUUUUGAAAUAUAACAUUAAUUAAACUAAUUACAUAGAAUAAGUCAUCACAUACCUAUUACUUUUGAAGUAUGUCAAUAAUUUACGCUUGAUACCUGUUUGCUUAUCUACUCAUGAGGUGGGAAACCUGAGUUCUAACUUGAGUUAGAUUAUUUUGCUUGAUGUAAUUUUGUGUGCUUUUGAGGACAUUUUUCAAAACUAAAUGAAUGUUAUACACAACUGAUGAAUUAUUGAAAAGUACCUCUGAAACAAAUUUAUAAAAAAGAAAACUAAAUGAUGUCUACUUAGAAAUGAGAAUUGGUAAAUACAAUGUGUAGAUUUCUAAAAAGUGUCCAAAGGCAACAAGGGAUGGAUAAUGUAUCUACAAAGAUUUACUAGGAAAUUCCUUGAUGAACUCUUUACCAAUUUAACUUCUCACUUUCCUUCCUUCUUUCCUUCCUUCCUUCUCUAUCAUCUAUCUCCCUUUCUCCUUCCC
rnacentral:lncRNA from 1 species